rnacentral:lncRNA from 1 species
AAGGGGGCUUAUCAGCAGGAAACUAUCUCCAGAGUUGCCAGAAAUCUGGAUUAGGAUCUACAGAAAAUGUUGUCUGUCAGGGUUUGGCAAAGAUGAUUACAAGAAGACGCCGCGGAAAGAGAAGGGGAAGCUGCAGAGUAACCUCCGUGAGGAGCAGCAGAGGUGGAGAAGGUGAGCUGAGGAACUUGGCUGCUGAUUCCGAGCAGAGUUGGGGAAAGAGUUCCCGCUCCAUCAAAGAGUCAUUUGUCUAAGUCCGGUGUCUAAGAAGUGGUAUUCCCAGAAAACAUUCUCCUUUCUCUCUGGACAUGUAUCUUCCAAGGAAACAUCUCUUUAACCUGUGUCGUUGCCUUCUGGUUGGAGCAGCUUUGGAGAUGUCCUAAGGAUGAACAUUCAUCCCAUCCGUACCACUUACUGGCCAUGUGUCUUGACUCCAGCCACUAUACCACUGAAGCCUCAGUUUCCUCAGCUGUGUAAUGGGACCAAAAAUCUCUGCCUUUCCUACUUUGCAGAGACAGUGACUGGACAAAUUGAGAAGAUGGAUGUAAAGAGUAACAUACAAAUAUCAGUGACUGAUUACCGACUCUGAACCAAGAGCUCUGACAGGCAUUGACUUGUGGAUUUUCCCUGUUCCAAAAUGCCUUCUUCCAGUUAAGUCAAACCUUUCCCACCUGAUCAUGACCUUGAAUUUAUACCAUGUGGAUGAGCCUCUUCGAUAAGAAAAUAUGAAACAAAAAACAGGCUGAUAAG